rnacentral:tRNA from 1 species
GCCUGGCUAGCUCAAUCGGUAGAGCGUGAGACUCUUAUUACGUAAUAAUUAUCUCAAGGUUGCGGGUUCGACCCCCGCGUUAGGCU